CCUACGGGAGGCAGCAGUGAGGAAUAUUGGUCAAUGGACGCAAGUCUGAACCAGCCAAGCCGCGUGCAGGAAGAAGGCUCUGUGAGUUGUAAACUGCUUUUGUACGAGGGUAAACGCGGAUACGAGUCUCUGUCUGAAAGUAUCUUACGAAUAAGGAUCGGCUAACUCCGUGCCAGCAGCCGCGGUAAUACGGAGGAUUCAAGCGUUAUCCGGAUUUAUUGGGUUUAAAGGGUGCGUAGGCGGUCUGAUAAGUUAGCGGUGAAAUCCCGAGGCUCAACCUCGGAAGUGCCGCUGAUACUGGUCGGCUAGAGAGGAGGAGAGGUAGGCGGAAUGCGUGGUGUAGCGGUGAAAUGCUUAGAUAUCAUGCAGAACACCGAUUGCGAAGGCAGCGUACCGGGUUACUACUGACGCUGAGACACGAAAGCGUGGGGAGCGAACAGGAUUAGAUACCCGAGUAGUC
rnacentral:rRNA from 1 species